rnacentral:rRNA from 1 species
UGGAUUAGGCAUGCAAGUCGAGCGAGAAGGGUUUUGAAGCUUGCUUUAGAACCCGGACAGCGGCGAAAGGGAGAGUAACGCGUAGUUAUGUGCCCUAGGGUCCGGAAUAGCCACGGGAAACUGUGGGUAAUGCCGGAUAACAUCCCCGGAUCAAAGGUGUGAUUCCGCCCUAGGAGCAGACUGCGUCCUACUAGCUAGUUGGUGGGGUAAUGGCCCACCAAGGCAAUGAUGGGUAGCGGGUGUGAGAGCAUGACCCGUCUCACUGGGACUGAGACACUGCCCAGACACCUACGGGUGGCUGCAGUCGAGAAUCUUCCGCAAUGGGCGAAAGCCUGACGGAGCGACGCCGCGUGUGGGAUGAAGGCCUUCGGGUUGUAAACCACUGUCAGUGGGGAGCAAGUGCAUUAGGGUUAUCCCUAGUGUUUGAGCGAUCCGCAGAGGAAGCACAGGCUAAUUCCGUGCCAGCAGCCGCGGUA